rnacentral:rRNA from 1 species
CCUACGGGUGGCAGCAGUGGGGAAUAUUGCACAAUGGGCGAAACCCUGAUGCAGCCACGCCGCGUGAGUGAAGAAGUAUUUCGGUAUGUAAAGCUCUUUCAGCAGGGAAGAAGAAAGCCGGUACCUGACUAAGAAGCCCCGGCUAACUACGUGCAAGCAGCCGCGGUAAUACGUAGGAGGCAAGCGUUAUCCGGAUUUACUGGGUUUAAAGGGAGCGUAGGCGGCUGGGAAAGUCUGAAGUGAAAGCCCGUGGCUCAACCGGGGAACUGCUGUGGAAACUGGAUAGCUUGAGUACUGGAGAGGCAGGCGGAAUUCCUGGUGUAGCGGUGAAAUGCGUAGAUAUCAGGAGGAACACCAGUGGCGAAGGCGGCCUGCUGGACAGAAACUGACGUCGAGGCUCGAAAGCGUGGGGAGCAAACAGGAUUAGAUACCCCAGUAGUC